rnacentral:rRNA from 1 species
AUUGAACGCUGGCGGCAUGCUUUACACAUGCAAGUCGAACGGUAACAGGCCUUCGGGCGCUGACGAGUGGCGAACGGGUGAGUAAUGCAUCGGAACGUGCCCAGUCGUGGGGGAUAACGCAGCGAAAGCUGUGCUAAUACCGCAUACGAUCUGCGGAUGAAAGCGGGGGAUCGCAAGACCUCGCGCGAUUGGCGCGGGCGAUAUCAGAUUAGCUAGGUGGUGGGGUAAAGGCCCACCAAGGCGACGAUCUGUAGCUGGUCUGAGAGGACGACCAGCCACACUGGAACUGAGACACGGUCCAGACUCCUACGGGAGGCAGCAGUGGGGAAUUUUGGACAAUGGGCGCAAGCCUGAUCCAGCAAUGCCGCGUGCAGGAUGAAGGCCUUCGGGUUGUAAACUGCUUUUGUACGGAACGAAACGGCUCUUUCUAAUAAAGAGGGCUAAUGACGGUACCGUAAGAAUAAGCACCGGCUAACUACGUGCCAGCAGCCGCCGUAACAC